rnacentral:rRNA from 1 species
GUGAUAUGAACCGUUAUAACCGGCGAUACCCGAAUGGGGAAACCCAGUGUGAUUCGUCACACUAUCAUUAACUGAAUCCAUAGGUUAAUGAGGCGAACCGGGGGAACUGAAACAUCUAAGUACCCCGAGGAAAAGAAAUCAACCGAGAUUCCCCCAGUAGCGGCGAGCGAACGGGGAGGAGCCCAGAGCCUGAAUCAGCAUGUGUGUUAGUGGAAGCGUCUGGAAAGGCGCGCGAUACAGGGUGACAGCCCCGUACACAAAAGCGCAUGUGCUGUGAGCUCGAUGAGUAGGGCGGGACACGUGGUAUCCUGUCUGAAUAUGGGGGGACCAUCCUCCAAGGCUAAAUACUCCUGACUGACCGAUAGUGAACCAGUACCGUGAGGGAAAGGCGAAAAGAACCCCGGCGAGGGGAGUGAAAAAGAGCCUGAAACCGUGUACGUACAAGCAGUGGGAGCACCCUUCGGGGUGUGACUGCGUACCUUUUGUAUAAUGGGUCAGCGACUUAUAUUCUGUAGCAAGGUUAACCGUAUAGGGGAGCCGGAGGGAAACCGAGUCUUAACCGGGCGUUAAGUUGCAGGGUAUAGACCCGAAACCCGGUGAUCUAGCCAUGGGCAGGUUGAAGGUUGGGUAACACUAACUGGAGGACCGAACCGACUAAUGUUGAAAAAUUAGCGGAUGACCUGUGGCUGGGGGUGAAAGGCCAAUCAAACCGGGAGAUAGCUGGUUCUCCCCGAAAGCUAUUUAGGUAGCGCCUCGUGAAUUCAUCUCCGGGGGUAGAGCACUGUUUCGGCUAGGGGGCCAUCCCGGCUUACCAACCCGAUGCAAACUGCGAAUACCGGAGAAUGUUAUCACGGGAGACACACGGCGGGUGCUAACGUCCGUCGUGAAGAGGGAAACAACCCAGACCGCCAGCUAAGGUCCCAAAGUCAUGGUUAAGUGGGAAACGAUGUGGGAAGGCCCAGACAGCCAGGAUGUUGGCUUAGAAGCAGCCAUCAUUUAAAGAAAGCGUAAUAGCUCACUGGUCGAGUCGGCCUGCGCGGAAGAUGUAACGGGGCUAAACCAUGCACCGAAGCUGCGGCAGCGAACGUAUCACCCAAGACAACUUUACGGAGUUGACGAUUGACGGAGCGAAGCGACGUCAAAGCGUUCAUUAAAGUCGAGUUGGCUUAGGGAUACGUUCGUUGGGUAGGGGAGCGUUCUGUAAGCCUGUGAAGGUGUGUCGUGAGGCAUGCUGGAGGUAUCAGAAGUGCGAAUGCUGACAUAAGUAACGAUAAAGCGGGUGAAAAGCCCGCUCGCCGGAAGACCAAGGGUUCCUGUCCAACGUUAAUCGGGGCAGGGUGAGUCGACCCCUAAGGCGAGGCCGAAAGGCGUAGUCGAUGGGAAACGGGUUAAUAUUCCCGUACUUGGUGUUACUGCGAAGGGGGGACGGAGAAGGCUAUGUUGGCCGGGCGACGGUUGUCCCGGUUUAAGCGUGUAGGUGUGUGUUCCAGGUAAAUCCGGUUCACUUUAACACUGAGGCGUGACGACGAGGCACUACGGUGCUGAAGCAACAAAUGCCCUGCUUCCAGGAAAAGCCUCUAAGCAUCAGGUAACAUCAAAUCGUACCCCAAACCGACACAGGUGGUCAGGUAGAGAAUACCAAGGCGCUUGAGAGAACUCGGGUGAAGGAACUAGGCAAAAUGGUGCCGUAACUUCGGGAGAAGGCACGCUGACACGUAGGUGAAGUGAUUUACUCAUGGAGCUGAAGUCAGUCGAAGAUACCAGCUGGCUGCAACUGUUUAUUAAAAACACAGCACUGUGCAAACACGAAAGUGGACGUAUACGGUGUGACGCCUGCCCGGUGCCGGAA